rnacentral:rRNA from 1 species
UACGUAGGCGGAAAAUUAAGUCAGUAGUGAAAUCCCGCAGCUUAACUGUGGAACUGUUAUUGAUACUGGUUUUCUUGAAUAUAGUUGAGGUAGGCGGAAUGUGUAAUGUAGCGGUGAAAUGCUUAGAUAUUACACAGAACACCGAUUGCGAAGGCAGCUUACUAAGCCAUGAUUGACGCUGAGGUACGAAAGCGUGGGGAGCGAACAGGAUUAGAUACCCUGGUAGUC